rnacentral:rRNA from 1 species
UGAGGAAUAUUGGUCAAUGGGCGGGAGCCUGAACCAGCCAAGCCGCGUGAGGGAAGAAGGCCCUAUGGGUCGUAAACCUCUUUUGUCAGGGAACAAAAGCGAGUAUGUAUACUGGUCUGAGUGUACCUGAAGAAAAACGCAUCGGCUAACUCCGUGCCAGCAGCCGCGGUAAUACGGAGGAUGCGAGCGUUAUCCGGAUUUAUUGGGUUUAAAAGGGUGCGUAGGCGGCGGUGCAAGUCAGCGGUAAAAGCCCGGGGCUCAACCCCGGCGAGCCGUUGAAACUGCAGUGCUAGAGAAGGCGAGAGGUACGCGGAAUGCGCAGUGUAGCGGUGAAAUGCUUAGAUAUUGCGCAGAACUCCGAUUGCGAAGGCAGCGUACUGGCGCCUGACUGACGCUGAGGCACGAAAGCGUGGGGAUCGAACAGGAUUAGAUACC